CCCUUAGAGUUUGAUCAUGGCUCAGAUUGAACGCUGGCGGCAGGCCUAACACAUGCAAGUCGAGCGGCAGCACAAGGGAGUUUACUCCUGAGGUGGCGAGCGGCGGACGGGUGAGUAAUGNCUAGGGAUCUGCCCAGUCGAGGGGGAUAACAGUUGGAAACGACUGCUAAUACCGCAUACGCCCUACGGGGGAAAGAGGGGGACUUUCGGGCCUCUCGCGAUUGGAUGAACCUAGGUGGGAUUAGCUAGUUGGUGAGGUAAUGGCUCACCAAGGCGACGAUCCCUAGCUGUUCUGAGAGGAUGAUCAGCCACACUGGGACUGAGACACGGCCCAGACUCCUACGGGAGGCAGCAGUGGGGAAUAUUGCACAAUGGGGGAAACCCUGAUGCAGCCAUGCCGCGUGUGUGAAGAAGGCCUUCGGGUUGUAAAGCACUUUCAGUAGGGAGGAAAGGUUGUAAGUUAAUACCUUGCAGCUGUGACGUUACCUACAGAAGAAGGACCGGCUAACUCCGUGCCAGCAGCCGCGGUAAUACGGAGGGUCCAAGCGUUAAUCCGAAUUACUGGGCGUAAAGCGUGCGCAGGCGGUUUGUUAAGCGAGAUGUGAAAGCCCCGGGCUCAACCUGGGAAUUGCAUUUC
rnacentral:rRNA from 1 species